rnacentral:miRNA from 1 species
UCAGUAACUGGAAUCUGUCCCUG